GGUCUGUCCUGUGGUCUGCCUUUAGUGGCCUCCUGGAUACCAGGCUUGCCCUAGUAGCAGUGUUCAGGAGGUCUCCUCAGGAGUGUGACUGCCCUGAGGCCUGCAUGUUGUUGUGGCUCUCAGAUCUGGGCCUUGUCAAAAGUCAGCAUGCAAUCAGCCCCUGGUCCCUGGGCUUGCCCUUGGCCCUGUGUGCUGGAGACGUGACAUGGAGAUAUGUCAACCCAAUGGGACCCUGGAGUUCUGGUCCUCAGACCCCAGGUUCAACAGACAAGAUCUGCACAGGUCAACAAAAGUUGACAGCAGUAAAAAUCCUGAAAUGGGAAAGAAGAAAAGCUGCCUUACUAUAUCUGAGGUUGCGAUCAUGAAAUCUUUGGAUCAUCCAAAGGUCAUCAUACUCUACCACACCACCAACCUCACACAACACCUAUAUCGUUAUGGAACAUGCCACGGUCGGUGAGCUGCGUUACAGAGAGUCAUGGCAUCAGUGCAGAGCGCCACAGCGAAUGAACCAUAUCACAUGGUUUGAAUAUAUGCAGAAGGAUGAAGUCUAUAGACUCAUAAACUAUUCAAGCAGGUAGUGUGGGCCCUCCACUACUGCCAUGGAAAAGAAAAUACAUAUAGAUACCUCAAACCAGAAAAUAUCUUAGUAGACACAGAGGAGGACAUAAAAUAAGUGAUUUUGGUCUGGGCAGCGAACUGACCACUGGGAAGAAGUUGAAGGCUUUCUGUGGCAUACCACUGCAAGUUGUACACCUGAGCUCUUUAGGAAGAGUGGAUGAUGGGCUUGCUGUGGACAUCUGGGGCCUGGUAGCACUGUUGUAUUUUAUAGUUGCUAUGUCUUAUCACCCUUUCAAAAAAAAGGGAAAUGCUUACAUAAGUAGCAAAUAUCAAAAAUUGUAUUACAUCUUCUCAACUUUCUCUAGAACUUCAUGACAUGAUCAGCCAGUGGCUGGCCAUUGAUCCUGGACAGUGGUCCAGAUAGGCCACAUAAUAAGACACCUGUCUGUAAACCAUGGUGAUCAGUCUUCCCUGGGUUAUUCAAUAAACAAAUUCCCAACCAACUAGAACCCUACAAAUUUACAAAUAGGUUUGUGGUACAGUCUUCAAGAAACACAAGAUUCUUUAAGACAUAAAAACAGGAGGAGAUAGUAUUUAACUGGUCAGCAAUGGUCACCCUGGAGAGGACAAAAUGACAAGUUCAGACUUGGAAGCAGGGUAGCACCAUCACCUCUGCACAUCCUUCCACCUUCCUUCUCAGCCUGAGGAGACCCAGUUUUCCUGCCCAUCCCAAUCUCAUCUUGUCCACUAAAGGCACCUUCUAUCAUGGCAAGAAGGGUGAAACAAUGCAUAGCAUAUCUGCAACCUUGUGCUGCCAGAGAGGAGCCGGCCUGCAUCAAACUCUAACAAAACAUAUCCUAGUGUAAUCAGGAGGCCUCACUACAUGAGCAGCAAGUAGAGGGAAAUGGACAGCACCAUCAUACCUAAGGAUGCAUUAUGGACCUUUCAGAGAGUUCAUUAUCAGAAACCUCCUCCAUCGAGCCACCCCAGAACAUGACCAGAUCUGGUGCUUACAACCCAAAGAGUAAAAGAUACUCUUAGGAUAAAACAUCUCCAUUCUCAGGGAAGGAAGUCCAAUGUGAGAACAGGAGCACACAAAGACACAGACAGCAGUUCAUCUCACAACCCCCAGCAGACAUCACCUCAGGAGCAACUCAAUGGCCAGCCCCAAGGUGUGACAGAGCCUACAGAAUCAAAUUGCAAAUUGAUUGCACAGACUGUUCCACUGCCUUCUGGCCCCAAAGAAGCAGUGUUGCCCAAUAACAGACACCUGUCAGUGAAUCAGGAAAACAGCGGAGGCAGUGGUGGAACAAAUAGUGUUGAUGGAGCACCUGGGCUCCCUGGAGGCUGACAUCUGGUAUGGACGCCACCAACCACAGCAGAACCCAGCCUACGUCUAGGCAGCUGUGUGCCUGCACCCCAGGCAAGAGGAUCCUGUCUAGCAUGAAAGAUUCCCAUGAGCAGUGAAGUGUCACUUGCCUAAGGGGAAAGAGGAUCAGAACUAGAGAGAGAUAAGGUGGACAGGCAGAGAGAUGGAAGAAAAAUGAUCAUCUAUCCUGAGAACCCCCAUCUGCCUGCACUGUACGUUUAUAUACAGAAACACUGUCUGAAGAACUGUUACCAUCAUGGAAUCACAUAUAGGAGCCUGAAGAAAACAUUCCAAGCCACACAUGCCUCUGUAACACAAAAAUUAUUUUCUUCUUUAAUUUUCUUGUAUAUAUUUAACCACACACUCACACUAUGAUG
rnacentral:lncRNA from 1 species